UGAGGAAUAUUGGACAAUGGGUGCAAGCCUGAUCCAGCCAUCCCGAGUGAAGGACGUCUGCCCUAUGGGUUGUAAACUUCUUUUGUAUAGGGAUAAACCUACUCACGUGUGAGUAGCUGAAGGUACUAUACGACUAAGCACCGGCUAACUCCGUGCCAGCAGCCGCGGUAAUACGGAGGGUGCAAGCGUUAUCCGGAUUUAUCGGGUUGAAAGGGUCCGUAGGCGGAUCUGUAAGUCAGUGGUGAAAUCUCGCAGCUUAACUGUGAAACUGCCAUUGAUACUGCAGGUCUUGAGUGUAUUUGAAGUAGCUGGAAUAAGUAGUGUGGCGGUGAAAUGCAUAGAUAUUACUUAGAACACCAAUUGCGAAGGCAGGUCACUAAGAUACAACAGACGCUGAUGGACGAAAGCGUGGGGAGCGAACAGGAUUA
rnacentral:rRNA from 1 species